rnacentral:rRNA from 1 species
AAUAUUGGACAAUGGGGGGAACCCUGAUCCAGCCAUGCCGCGUGUGUGAAGAAGGUCUUCGGAUUGUAAAGCACUUUAAGUUGGGCGGAAGAGUUGUAGGCUCAUACCUUGCAAUUUUGACGUUACCAACAGAAUAAGCACCUGCUAACUUCGUUCCAGCAGCCACGGUAAUACGAAGGGUGCCAGCGUUAAUCGGAAUUACUGUGCGUAAUGCGCGCGUAGGUGGUUUGUUAAGUUGGAAGUGAAAGCCCCGGGCUCAACCUGGGAACUGCUUUCAAAACUGACGAGCUAGAGUACGGUAGAGGGUAGUGGAAUUUCCUGUGUAGCGGUGAAAUGCGUAGAUAUAGGAAGGAACAUCAGUGGCGAAGGCGACUACCUGGACUGAUACUGACACUGAGGUGCGAAAGCGUGGGGAGCAAACAGG